GGCUUUUUGUGGCGCAAUGGAUAGCGCAUUGGACUUCUAAUUCAAAGGUUGUGGGUUCGAGUCCCACCAGAGUCG